UCGAGACAAUUAUCGCUUCCAAGAAAAAAAAGGAAAAGGGUAUUAUCGGCCUCAAAUUCGUUCAAAGUUAAUAAAAACAAUAUUUUAUCAGUACGCAACAGUUGAAAAAUCGACGUCUAUAUCCAUUUUCGGGGUAGCCCGUUUUGUUUGUUUAGGUUUCUUAACUUUUGGAAUGCCCUCUACCAACGACACGGAGUUAGGAUGUAAAUAACUUGAAUCGAGUCGAAUGUAUUACUGUUUGGUCUUUAUUUCA
rnacentral:lncRNA from 1 species